GAUGAACGCUGGCGGCGUGCCUAAUACAUGCAAGUCGAGCGAACGGACGAGAAGCUUGCUUCUCUGAUGUUAGCGGCGGACGGGUGAGUAACACGUGGAUAACCUACCUAUAAGACUGGGAUAACUUCGGGAAACCGGAGCUAAUACCGGAUAAUAUUUUGAACCGCAUGGUUCAAAAGUGAAAGACGGUCUUGCUGUCACUUAUAGAUGGAUCCGCGCUGCAUUAGCUAGUUGGUAAGGUAACGGCUUACCAAGGCAACGAUGCAUAGCCGACCUGAGAGGGUGAUCGGCCACACUGGAACUGAGACACGGUCCAGACUCCUACGGGAGGCAGCAGUAGGGAAUCUUCCGCAAUGGGCGAAAGCCUGACGGAGCAACGCCGCGUGAGUGAUGAAGGUCUUCGGAUCGUAAAACUCUGUUAUUAGGGAAGAACAUAUGUGUAAGUAACUGUGCACAUCUUGACGGUACCUAAUCAGAAAGCCACGGCUAACUACGUGCCAGCAGCCGCGGUAAUACGUAGGUGGCAAGCGUUAUCCGGAAUUAUUGGGCGUAAAGCGCGCGUAGGCGGUUUUUUAGUCUGAUGUGAAAGCCCACGGCUCAACCGUGGAGGGUCAUUGGAAACUGGAAAACUUGAGUGCAGAAGAGGAAAGUGGAAUUCCAUGUGUAGCGGUGAAAUGCGCAGAGAUAUGGAGGAACACCAGUGGCGAAGGCGACUUUCUGGUCUGUAACUGACGCUGAUGUGCGAAAGCGUGGGGAUCAAACAGGAUUAGAUACCCUGGUAGUCCACGCCGUAAACGAUGAGUGCUAAGUGUUAGGGGGUUUCCGCCCCUUAGUGCUGCAGCUAACGCAUUAAGCACUCCGCCUGGGGAGUACGACCGCAAGGUUGAAACUCAAAGAGAUUGACGGGGACCCGCACAAGCGGUGGAGCAUGUGGUUUAAUUCGAAGCAACGCGAAGAACCUUACCAAAUCUUGACAUCCUUUGACAACUCUAGAGAUAGAGCUUUCCCCUUCGGGGGACAAAGUGACAGGUGGUGCAUGGUUGUCGUCAGCUCGUGUCGUGAGAUGUUGGGUUAAGUCCCGCAACGAGCGCAACCCUUAAGCUUAGUUGCCAUCAUUAAGUUGGGCACUCUAAGUUGACUGCCGGUGACAAACCGGAGGAAGGUGGGGAUGACGUCAAAUCAUCAUGCCCCUUAUGAUUUGGGCUACACACGUGCUACAAUGGACAAUACAAAGGGCAGCGAAACCGCGAGGUCAAGCAAAUCCCAUAAAGUUGUUCUCAGUUCGGAUUGUAGCCUGCAACUCGACUACAUGAAGCUGGAAUCGCUAGUAAUCGUAGAUCAGCAUGCUACGGUGAAUACGUUCCCGGGUCU
rnacentral:rRNA from 1 species